UAGGGAAUCUUCGGCAAUGGACGAAAGUCUGACCGAGCAACGCCGCGUGAGUGAAGAAGGUUUUCGGAUCGUAAAACUCUGUUGUUAGAGAAGAACAAGGACGGUAGUAACUGAACGUCCCCUGACGGAAUCUAACCAGAAAGCCACGGCUAACUAGGUGCCAGCAGCCGCGGUAAUACGUAGGUGGCAAGCGUUGUCCGGAAUUAUUGGGCGUAAAGCGAGCGCAGGCGGUUUCUUAAGUCUGAUGUGAAAGCCCCCGGCUCAACCGGGGAGGGUCAUUGGAAACUGGGAGACUAGAGUGCAGAAGAGGAGAGUGGAAUUCCAUGUGUAGCGGUGAAAUGCGUAGAUAUAUGGAGGAACACCAGUGGCGAAGGCGGCUCUCUGGGCUGUAACUGACGCUGAGGCUCGAAAGCGUGGGGAGCAAACAGG
rnacentral:rRNA from 1 species